rnacentral:ribozyme from 1 species
CUCUAUUUCGAAGAAUGAUCGUAAAAAAUGAACAGGAAUUCUUUUUUCUUUUAAAUAUUAUUGGAAUUUAAAAUUUAAAAGAAAAAGAAAA